AAGAUGAGAUCGUAGUGGAAAACGACUUAAGCUAUGCUCUUAAAGGCUAUAAGCCAUCAAAGGUUCGAUUCCUUUUCUUCCUA
rnacentral:tRNA from 1 species